UUUCUCGUUGAGCUCAAAGUGCCGACUUCGUCG
rnacentral:sRNA from 1 species